rnacentral:rRNA from 1 species
AUCAUGGCUCAGAUUGAACGCUGGCGGAAUGCUUUACACAUGCAAGUCGAACGGCAGCACGGGGCAACCUGGUGGCGAGUGGCGAACGGGUGAGUAAUGCAUCGGAACGUGCCAUUGAGUGGGGGAUAACGUAGCGAAAGUUGCGCUAAUACCGCAUAUUCUGUGAGCAGGAAAGCAGGGGACCGCAAGGCCUUGCGCUCUUUGAGCGGCCGAUGUCAGAUUAGCUAGUUGGUGAGGUAACGGCUUACCAAGGCGACGAUCUGUAGCGGGUCUGAGAGGAUGAUCCGCCACACUGGAACUGAGACACGGUCCAGACUCCUACGGGAGGCAGCAGUGGGGAAUUUUGGACAAUGGGCGCAAGCCUGAUCCAGCCAUGCCGCGUGAGUGAAGAAGGCCUUUCGGGUUGUAAAGCUCUUUCGGCCGGGAAGAAAUCGCAUGGGUUAAUACCCUGUGUGGAUGACGGUACCGGAAUAAGAAGCACCGGCUAACUACGUG